AGAACUUAGCAGAGAUGCUUUGGUGCCUUCGGGAACGUCUGAGACAGGUGCUGCAUGGCUGUCGUCAGCUCGUGUUGUGAAAGUGUUGGGUUAAGUCCCGCAACGAGCGCAACCCUUAUCCUUUGUUGCCAGCGGUUAGGCCGGGAACUCAAAGGAGACUGCCAGUGAUAAACUGGAGGAAGGUGGGGAUGACGUCAAGUCAUCAUGGCCCUUACGAGUAGGGCUACACACGUGCUACAAUGGCGCAUACAAAGAGAAGCGACCUCGCGAGAGCAAGCGGACCUCAUAAAGUGCGUCGUAGUCCGGAUUGGAGUCUGCAACUCGACUCCAUGAAGUCGGAAUCGCUAGUAAUCGUGGAUCAGAAUGCCACGGUGAAUACGUUCCCGGGCCUUGUACACACCGCCCGUCACACCAUGGGAGUGGGUUGCAAAAGAAGUAGGUAGCUUAACCUUCGGGAGGGCGCUUACCACUUUGUGAUUCAUGACUGGGGUGAAGUCGUAACAAGGUAGGCGUAGUGCU
rnacentral:rRNA from 1 species